CUUGGUGAUUCAAGCGAGUUGGUAAAACCUCUUCCCAUUUCGAACAGAGAAGUUAAACGACUCAGCGCUGAUGGUAGUUAGGGCUUAAGCCUUAGCGAGAGUAGGCCGUCGCCAAGA
rnacentral:rRNA from 1 species